GCCUGUGCCUCCACCGCCAAGUGCCUGAACAUCUGGGCCCUGACUGUGGGCAUCCUUGUGACGACUGCACUCACCAUCCUUUCACCAGUAGUUCUGUGAUAAUAUUCCAAUCAAUUUCUCAGAUGACAAAGAAUCUCCAGGGCCAGUAGUAGCACCCAGUAGCUGCCGCUGCCCUACUGGUGCAGGAAGCCGAUCAACUGACUCUAGAGACUGUGAAUACCCUAAACCCAGCUGCCUUGCUCCUCAUCGCGUCAGUACCGGGAAUGUGGGCGGAGGAUUACCCGCGGGUCGAGGCAAGAGACUGAAGGUACAGACUGUUUCCGUAUAAUAAAGCAAAUAGAACAAGAACAGUUGUAAUACAAAUUAGAUAUAGAGAUGAUCAUGAACAUUAUCAAUCAUAAGUAUAAACAUUACUAAUCAUUGGCUUUUAAUAUUACUCUUUGUUGCAUUACUAAUAUAACCAAGGAAUCACCGGGGGUUAUAGGGUCAGGUGCUGAAGGGACAUCAUGAGAAGUGACCGAGAAGGCAAGAGAUGAAUCCUCCGUCACGCCCACGUAAGGGCCGCGUGAGGGCUCCUUGGUCAAGCGGUAACGCCAGUGUCUGUGAAGACACCCGUUACUUAGCAGACCGCGAAAGGGAGUCUCCUUUCCUUGGAGGAGUCAGGGAACACUCUGCUCCCGGCUUUUUGUGGGAGGCUGGAUAUGAUCCAGGCCUGCCCGCAGUCAUCUGGAGGCCGAAACCCCUCCCUGUAGUGCAGUGCUUCAACAGUCACUCUCCUUGUCCACUUCCAUGUUCCUCCCGUACUCCUGAUUCCUCUUUGAAGUUCGUAGUAGAUAGCGGUAGAAGACAUAGUGAAAGUCUUAAAGUCUUUGAUCUUUUUGAUAAAUGCAGAGAAGAAAACGCUGACGUAUGCUGCCUUCCCGCUCUGCUUCGGCUGCCUAUAAGGGAAGGGCCCCCUGUCCCAUGAUCAUGUGACUUGGCUGACCUUAUCAAUGACUUGGACGACUCACCCUCCUUACCCUAACCCCUUGUCUUGUAUGCAGUAAAUAUCAGCGCCCAGCCAUUCGGGGCCAUUACCGGUCUCCACAUCUGGGUGGUAGUGGUGUCCGGGCCCAGCUGUUUUCUCUUUAUCUCUUUGUCUUGUGUCUUUAUUUCUAACGAUCUCUCAUCGUUAGAAAUAGCUCUGACAAGAGCUCUCCGGCUAGCAAAAGACCAGAAGGCGAAUAUUUACACAGAUUCCAAAUAUGCUUCUACCACUUUGCAUGUUCAUAAGGCUAUUUACAAAGAAUAAAAGACUUUUAACCACUGGAGGUAAAAAAAUAAAGUAUCAGGAAGAAAUUAAAGUAUAAGAAAUAAAGUAUAAGCAAUGACAACCCCACCUUCUAAAGAGGAAGCCUUAGCUGUACCUCUCCUCCUGGAGACCCCAAACUCCACUCCACAUGAAAAGGCUCGGUUUACCCAGAAAAAUAAGAACUACAUCGAAGGAAGAUGGUAAAAAUUCUCCAAUGGGAGGCUAGCCAUUCCUGAAAUGGUCGCCCCCAGAUUUGUAAAACAGUUCCACCAAGGAACUCAUAAAAAAAUUAAAAAUUAAAAA